UACGGAGGGUGCAAGCGUUGCUCGGAAUUAUUGGGCGUAAAGGGCACGUAGGUGGUCUCAUUUGUCAGGGGUGAAAGCCUUGGGCUUAACUCAAGAAGUGCCCCUGAAACGGUGAGACUGGAGUCCUGGAGAGGCGAGUGGAAUUCCCGGUGUAGCGGUGAAAUGCGUAGAGAUCGGGAGGAACACCAGAGGCGAAGGCGGCUCGCUGGACAGGUACUGACACUCAACUGCGAAAGCGUGGGGAGCAAACAGG
rnacentral:rRNA from 1 species